rnacentral:tRNA from 1 species
GCUUCUCCACGUUAAAAACAAAAAAGUAGGUGUAGUAACAUGCCUACCAUAUACCAGAUUAGCUCAGUGGUUUA